UACGAAGGGGGCUAGCGUUGUUCGGAAUUACUGGGCGUAAAGGGCGCGUAGGCGGCUCUGAUCGUCGGAUGUGAAAGGCCUGGGCUCAACCUGGGAAUGGCAUCCGAUACGGCGGGGCUGGAGUGUGGGAGAGGUUGGUGGAAUUCCCAGUGUAGAGGUGAAAUUCGUAGAUAUUGGGAAGAACACCGGUGGCGAAGGCGGCCAACCUGGACGUCACUGGACGCUGAGCACGCGAAAGCGUGGGUAGCAAACAGG
rnacentral:rRNA from 1 species